ensembl:snRNA U6 U6 spliceosomal RNA
GCACUUGCUUCGGCAGCACAUAUACUAAAAUUGGAACAAUACGGGGAAUAUUAACAUGACCCUUGUACAAGAAUGACAUGCAAAUUCAUGAAGUAUUCCAUAUUUUU